AAGGCGGAUGUAACUGGGGUAUUCAAACAAGGACAGUAACUUGUCAUGAAUCAGGUUUAUGGAAUUCUCCACGAGUCAAUCCAAAGGAGUGUGGUCAAAGUGUAUCACCGCCUUCCUCACGUAGAUGUAAGAAUACUGACUGUCGGCAGUUCCGCUUGGCAAGUGAUUAUGAUGAGUGGGUUACAGGAAACUGGCUUCAGUGCAGCGCCACUUGCGGAAGCGGGCAGCAGACAAGAGUUAUCAAGUGUGUGCGCCGUGAAAAUCAACUAGACAGCAGCGACAU